rnacentral:lncRNA from 1 species
CGGGAUGCUGCGGAGCGGAGCUGCGGGCGGAGGGAGGCAGGUCUUACUUUUUGGACUUGUCAGCCUUGUGGACUUCUAUGCACACCUCUUCAGCUAUGAGUAGAUCAAUAGGACUUAAUAUCUGUGUGGUCACUUGCUGCAUCCUGCUCUUAUCCUCUAGCCCACCAUGCCUUGCGUAUCCACUACUGGAGGAGAGAGACAUGACGAAGGCCCAGUACAGCUCAUGGGCAGGGAAUGGGAUAGAAGAUGAAAGGACAAGCAUACCGAAUUUAAUGAACAAGCUGAGCCCUUCUGAGCAAAUGCUCUCUGAGGAGCCAUCUGGAGUGUCAGCAAAGCCGUCUAGGAUGCCCCUAAAUGAAGCUUUCACUUCUGAAAGAGAAAUGAGGCCUGUAAGUCCAAGCCGUACCUUUCUAGGCAGCCCGGAUCUCUCCCAGUCUGGAAAGGGCAAGUGACUACCUCAUCAUCCCAAUGGCGCAGGUCCCAAGUGAGAGUUUUGAGGUGGGAAUGCCAGAAGCCAACACAGGCAGUGCUCCAAGGUUACUGGCUUCACAAGGAGCCACUGCUGUUAACCAUCCCCUUGUGACCACUGAGGCCUAUCUUCAUCUGGGGGCAGACACAGCUGUGGGGCAAGAAGAGCAGCCCACUGUAGCAAGCACUGCCUCCAGCCUCCCUACUGAUUCAAUGCCCCCAGACUGGGAUGACACCAAGCUAGGGAGUACAAGUCAAAGGGAAAUCAUGCAGCAUGAGGAGGUGGGAGAGGACCAAGUGACAACAGAAACAUCCCAGAUCCCACUUCCAGAUAUGGAGGAAGAGGAGGAUGAUGUGACAAGAGUGUUGCCAUCCCCAGCAUCUGCUCCACCAACUCCAGGGCUUGUGAAGGAGAUCAACUGCACAGCCCCUGCAACAGUGCAUCAGGAAGAUGUACUGAUUGCUUCCACAGCCAGCAGUGAUGUUUCCCUCACAGGGGACUUGCCAGAUGUAGACACAGGUGGUCUGAACUCUUUGGAAAACAUAAACAUGGUCACAGCAGAAGAGAAGAGCAUCCUUCCUUCACAGCCAGAGGCUUCUGUGAUGACAGACACAACACCUGAUCUCUCUUCUACUCUGGAGAGCUCACUGGAAGGCCUUACUCAGGAGGUGACAACUAUUGCCCAGGAGGUGGCUGCUGCUGCUUUGACAGCUGUGACGCUGCUGCCUGCUCCUGCCCAGGGCACAGGAGCUGCAAGCCUUCCCCAGGAAACCAGUGGGGAGGACACCCAGAUGCUGAGUGCCCCUGGUGCCACCCAGAUGCUGACAGCUGCAGGCACCUCCACAGUGAGAACUCCAAGUGUGGAAGAUCUCACAGAUGUGGUACUGGUCACUGGUGAGAAGGCUGUUCCAUCUCUGGAUGGAUUGCUGGCUACACAGUCUGGGCAAACAGAGGAACCAUCCAGCAAAACAAUGGUCCUGGUGACUCCAGCAUCAGUGGCAUCAUCUGUCAGGAGAACAGCUCUUCCAGCUGUGAGGAAGAUCAGUACAGCUGUAACCUAUGGGUUGGAUCGGCUGGAGUCAGAAGGUACCACUGUUCUCAAGGCUAAAGGGCAGGCACCUUCCUGUGGAGAGGAGCAAUUACCUUGAUAAUGUGGG